CUCAGAGAAGCCAUGUGGCUCCAGCUCCGGGGAAAGCCGGCUUCCUGAGACAUGGAGAUGGCAAUGCCUCUCCUAUUCUUUCACUUGUCCAGGCACAGGGGCUGGGGGCAUGAACAGGUAACCCUUAACUGUGGCAUUUAGAACACCUGGAUGCAAUUAUCACCGGUGUCAAUCUACAUAUGCAGAGGAAAGAAACAAUUUUCAUCCUUCCUGGAAUUUGUAUAAUUAGUCCACAGUAAUUAUUUAAAAAAAAAAUUCGAUGCUGAAAGUCUUUUCUCCCCUACAUUUUUAUGUUGACACUAUUGUAAGAGCAUCAUUACUGGUAUUUAGGAUGCGAAUAAUUGAACAAAGUUCUGUAUACUUAAGAGAUGGUCAGCAUAACCUCUUGGUAUCUUCUAAGGCCAUUCUGUUUUGAGUGGGUAUCCAUCUACUCCAGCUCUUGGCUGCAAAACCACAGGAAAGAGUGAGAGAGGCCACCGUGCUCACGGCUGUCAGCAGGACGGGAUUCUGUCCUCUGGAAGUACAAAGCGAUCACCUAAGAUACUCCGUUUAUUGGCUGGAAAACUGAAGCCCAAUCAGACAGCUGGUGUGAAGACAGCUCUGUUUGUUUGGAAGAGCACCUCAUCCCCCAGCCCGGGAUCCAAUUGAAGGAUAAUUUGUCCUGCUCUGAUGCUGGGGCUGCAGGAAGGCCCAGGACCCAGGAUCUCGUCUUAUCAACCCAUCACCUUGGCAAGGUUUAGCCUGAGUGUGAAGGCACAGGAGAGGUUUGCCUCAGUGGAGGGCAAUCGCGCCGAGGCCUCUAAAGUCCAUGGCAACAGGAAUUCUGCCACUCCGGCUCCUGGUUUCUCAGGCCUGUCCCUGCUGGGAGAGGCCUCCUCGGUCUUCCACCUGCGUGGGCCUAUCUGGUUAACCACCCAAGGCACAGCCCGUCUUCUGAAACAAAGAGCGCCAGCCAGCUGCCUCUGCUCUCCCUCGGCCUUGGAGGAAGCGCUGUGACAAAGCCCGCAGGACGCCAAGCAGGCUAACUUUGAAGAUGAGCCUCCACUGGCUGCAUUAUGAGGCCAGCGACACUUAUCAGACUGAUAAUCUAAAGAUGCUUUUGCCCCUGGAGCAGUAUCUCAUUCCAGGGCAGCUGCACAGAGACCUCGGCACAGGCGUUUUGAGCCCUGCAGCCCAGCUAAGAGAUGCACCAGCUAAGAGACACACCCCGGGCUGUGGCUUCUCCUGCAGACUGGAAGAGAAUGGCCUCCAACAGGGAACAGACGCAUUGUGUUUCUCCCACUAGAGAAGAAGCAAUACUGAGCCUGCAUACUGGCCUUGGAGGGGACACAAUUAAACAUCAGCAGAUCUCAGAUUCGAACUAAAACACAAAACUUUCAGAAGUCUGGAAAAUCUUUUCUAUGCCAAAAUAACCAAUACUUUUGUCUCGAAGGACUUAGAAUCACAACCGGGGGCUGUUGAAAAAAAGAAUAAAGAAAGCAAUUAUGGCA
rnacentral:lncRNA from 12 species